rnacentral:rRNA from 1 species
UACGUAGGGCGCAAGCGUUGUCCGGAAUUACUGGGCGUAAAGGGCUCGUAGGCGGCCAUCUAAGUCCGACGUGAAAUCCCAAAGCUUAACUUUGGAACUGCGUCGGAUACUGGAUGGCUUGAAUUCGGGAGAGGGAUGCAGAAUUCCAGGUGUAGCGGUGAAAUGCGUAGAUAUCUGGAGGAACACCGGUGGCGAAGGCGGCAUCCUGGACCAACACUGACGCUGAUGAGCGAAAGCCAGGGGAGCAAACGGG